UGUUCGUUAUUUAGGGCGCAUGGUGGAUGCCUUGGCAUGCUGAGCCGAUGAAGGACGUGAAAGGCUGCGUUAAGCCUCGGGGAGUUGUCAAUUAAGCGUUGAUCCGAGGAUGUCCGAAUGGGGAAACCUGGCACUUGUUAUGGAGUGUUACCCUUCAGUGAAUUCAUAGCUGUUGUGGGGGUUGACGCGGGGAAGUGAAACAUCUCAGUACCCGUAGGAGAAGAAAAUAAUAAUGAUUCUGCUAGUAGUGGCGAACGAACGUGGAUGAGGCUAAACCGUGUGCAUGUGAUACUUGGUAGGGGUUGUGUGUGCGGUGUUGUGGGCCUUGAUGUGCAGCGACUACCAUCGUUGCGUCUUGUUGUUGAUGUUAGGUGAAGUGGUGUGGAAACGCCUGCCGUAGAGGGUGAUAGUCCUGUAGCUGAAGACAUUGAUGAUGGGGUUGUCAAGUUGCCCGAGUAGCAGCGGGCUCGUGGAAUCUGCUGUGAAUCUGCCGGGACCACCCGGUAAGCCUAAAUACUCAGUGUGACCGAUAGUGGAUAGUACCGUGAGGGAAUGGUGAAAAGUACCCCGGGAGGGGAGUGAAAUAGUUCCUGAAACCAUGUGCUUACAAUCCGUCAGAGCACCGUUUGUGUGUGAUGGCGUGCCUUUUGAAGAAUGAGCCUGCGAGUCAGCGGCAUGUCGCGAGGUUAACCCGUGUGGGGUAGCCGUAGGGAAACCGAAUCCUAAUGGGGUGUCAAGUGGCAUGUCCUGGACCCGAAGCGGGGUGAUCUACCCAUGGCCAGUGUGAAGCAGCAGUAAGAUGCUGUGGAGGCGCGAACCCACGUAGGUUGAAAACUGCGGGGAUGAGCUGUGGGUAGGGGUGAAAGGCCAAUCAAACUCCGUGAUAGCUGGUUCUCCCCGAAAUGCAUUUAGGUGCAGCGUCGCAUUAGCUUGGUGGAGGUAGAGCUACUGGUUGGUUGAGCGGGACUACAAUCUUAGCAAUGUCAGCCAAACUCCGAAUGCCAUUAAUGUGUUGUGCGGCAGUGAGACUGUGGGGGAUAAGCUUCAUAGUCGAGAGGGAAACAGCCCAGAUCGCCGGUUAAGGCCCCUAAGGGUGUGCUAAGUGGAAAAGGAUGUGGGAUCGCGAAGACAGCCAGGAGGUUGGCUUAGAAGCAGCCAUCCUUGAAAGAGUGCGUAAUAGCUCACUGGUCGAGUGGUUCUGCGCCGACAAUGUAGUGGGGCUCAAGCACACCGCCGAAGCCGCGGCAAUAAUUUUUGUUAUUGGGUAGGGGAGCGUCGUGCACGUGUUGAAGCGUUACCGUAAGGAGGCGUGGAGUGUGUGCGAGUGAGAAUGCAGGCAUGAGUAACGAAUUGGAAGGUGAGAAUCCUUCCCGCCGGAUGACUAAGGGUUCCUGGGUCAAGUUCGUCUUCCCAGGGUGAGUCGGGACCUAAGGCGAGGCCGACAGGCGUAGUCGAUGGAUAACCAGUUGAUAUUCUGGUACCCGAGUAUAUGCGCCCCUGAUAAAGCACUGAUACUAACCACCACAAGCACUUUUCGAUGACACUUUGUGUUGUUGGUUGGUGUGCGUCGUGGGGCCUGAUGUGUGGUUCAAGCGAUGGGGUGACACAGUGGGGUAGCCAUGCCACUUAGUGGAUUGUUGGUGUAAGCGUGUAGCUUGGGGUGUAGGUAAAUCCGCAUCCUUUUAUGUGAGACGUGAUGCGUAGCCUUAAUUGGUGAAGUUGGUGAUCCCGU
rnacentral:rRNA from 1 species